AGCGCGUGAGUAACCUGCCCCUGACUCUGGGAUAAGCCCGGGAAACUGGGUCUAAUACCGGGAUAUGACUUUUGACCGCAUGGUUGAGGGUGGAAAGAUUUAUCGGUUGGGGAUGGACUCGCGGCCUGUCAGCUUGUUGGUGAGGUAAUGGCUCACCAAGGCGACGACGGGUAGCCGGCCUGAGAGGGUGACCGGCCACACUGGGACUGAGACACGGCCCAGACUCCUACGGGAGGCAGCAGUGGGGAAUAUUGCACAAUGGGCGCAAGCCUGAUGCAGCGACGCCGCGUGAGGGAUGACGGCCUUCGGGUUGUAAACCUCUUUCAGUAGGGAAGAAGCGAGAGUGACGGUACCUGCAGAAGAAGCGCCGGCUAACUACGUGCCAGCAGCCGCGGUAAUACGUAGGGCGCAAGCGUUAUCCGGAUUUAUUGGGCGUAAAGAGCUCGUAGGCGGUUUGUCGCGUCUAUCGUGAAAGUCCGAGGCUCAACCUCGGAUCUGCGGUGGGUACGGGCAGACUAGAGUGAUGUAGGGGAGACUGGAAUUCCUGGUGUAGCGGUGAAAUGCGCAGAUAUCAGGAGGAACACCGAUGGCGAAGGCAGGUCUCUGGGCAUUUACUGACGCUGAGGAGCGAAAGCAUGGGGAGCGAACAGGAUUAGAUACCCUGGUAGUCCAUGCCGUAAACGUUGGGCACUAGGUGUGGGGGGACAUUCCACGUUUUCCGCGCCGUAGCUAACGCAUUAAGUGCCCCGCCUGGGGAGUACGGCCGCAAGGCUAAACUCAAAGGAAUUGACGGGGGCCCGCACAAGCGGCGGAGCAUGCGGAUUAAUUCGAUGCAACGCGAAGAACCUUACCAGGCUUGACAUGUUCCAGAUCGCCUCAAGAUGGGGUUUCCCUUCGGGGCUGGUUCACAGGUGGUGCAUGGUUGUCGUCAGCUCGU
rnacentral:rRNA from 1 species